CAGAUUCAAAAUAAAUGUCUUUUCAUUGUUGAUUGUUGUCUUUUGAUUAAAUAAUUUGCUAUAAACUAAUUAGUUUGCUUUGGGAAUCUUGAAGUUUAUAAUGUUUAAAAGCCUAACCUGUUGAUUGGUAUUUUCAAACUUCAAUAAGUUUUGGGAAUCUCAACAUCUUUACGCUCAUCAACGUCAUCUUUUGAGCAAAUAAAAGUACCAUUGGAAUGUUUCACCUGCCUUUUUGCUAAGCUUUCCUCAAAGGUAUUGUUAAGUCUGCUAUAACAUAAAAGAUAGUAAAGGAAAUCACAUUUUCAUUGAUAUUAACAACAACAACAAUCUACCGAAUUCGGCAUCAGAAAAAAAAGUUUUUAGGUUGGGCUAUUAUUACCUUAUAAUUAUCGUGAAUCGAGUUGAUUAUUGGUCUUGGCUGUUUUGGCUCUUGAACGCUGCAAAUAAAGGAGACAAUUUCGUCAGUCAGCAAUAUUGAAAUCCUCUAACAAUUCCUGAUCAGCCAUCUUGAAAUUGAUUUUAAUGGUAACCAUUGAUGAUGUUGAUUAUUGGUUUUGGCUUUUUGUCUCAAUUGUACAGAAAUGCUGAAAAUUAUUGGUGUUUUUAAUUGCUAAAGGAAACGUGAAUAGAUUACAUUGUUAUCAUUGGUUAAUAAUGGAUUUUACAAGGGAAUGAGAAAAGUCAAGUCAAUAUAAAUAUGUACAAUUAACUCAAUGAUUUACUGUUAUUGCUCUUGAACAUUACAUUUUUUUUUAUUUUAUUAUUUCCUCAGACUGACCCAAUUGUUACCUAGCAAGGUAAAUUUAAUGUUUCCGGUGCGAUUGUAAACUGUAAUUCAACAUUCAAGUGUUCAACCUGAUUAUUUGAUGAUUUUUUUCCCAAUCAAGUGUUAACUUUUUUCUGCCAAAUGCUUUUUCUUAUCAACUCACCACAAUUAACAAUAUUUACAAGUUGAUUGUGAUUCUGAGUUACUUGGACAUUCUAAUUCUCAAGUUUUAAAUGAUUAAUCAGCUUUAAAAUGUAUGGCUUUAUGUAUUUACUCAGUUUUGGUGGUUAAAUCAAUUUUAAAAGGCAAUUUUUCUGGGUUUCAAUAAUUUUGCAAAUCAAAAAAAAAUCAAGGUGUGUAUAAUUGUAAUAAUGAAUCUGGAAUAAUUGAUUGUAAUGCCUUCCAGUUGAUCCAAUAAAGUGUAACAAGUUGUUUGAUUGUUACAAACAAAAAAUGAAAA